rnacentral:tRNA from 1 species
UUUUUUUCAUUAUUUUUUCCAGCUUUAUUGAGAUAUAGCAUAUAACAUUGUGUAAUGUUAGGUGUACAGCAUGAUGAUUUGACAUAUAUUGCAAAGUAUGGCCACAAUAGGGUUAGUUAACACCUCCAUCAUUUUGCAUGAUUACUACUUCUCUUUUUUUCUGGUGAGAACAUUAUAGAUCUACUUUCCUAGCAACUUCCAAGUACAUAAUACAGUAUUGUUAGCUAUAGUCACCCUUGCUAUAUGUUAGAUCCUCAAAACAUAUUUAUCUUCUAAAAGUUUGUAACAUUUAACCAAAUAUCUCCAGUUUCCUUCAUCCCUCACCCUUAGAAACCACCAUUCUACUCUCUGUGUCUGUGAAUUUGGCUGUUAGGUGCACACUAUUUUAGGAUUUUUAUGAGUUCUUGGUUUGGGGUUCAUGCAGCCUCUUUAAUCUGUAGGUUUAUGUCUUUUGCCAAAUUUGGGAAGCUUUCUGCUAUUAUUUAAGUAUAUUUUCUGCACUCCUUCUCUUCUUAAGGGAUUCCAGUGACAGACAUAUAUUUUGGUAUUUUCCCACAGACCCCUAAAGUUCUGUUCAUUUGUUGUUUUUUUGUUCAGAUUGUAGGAUUUUUAGUGGUCUGUCUCCAAGGUCCUGCUUUCCUUUGUCUCUGUCAUCUCUAAUGGGUCUCUAAUAAAUAAAAUCUUUUAAAAAUAAAUAAUAAAAUCCUUGUUAGAUAAUCCCAACAUCUAUGUCAUCUUGAUGUUAACAUUUGUUUGUUUUUUGUUUUUUAGAAUUAAGGUAAGCUCUGCCCAACAUGGAGCUCAAAUUCACGGCCCAGAGAUCAAGAGUCACUCACUAUACUGACUGAGCCAGCCAGGCACCAUAUGUUAGCCAUCUGUUGAUUGCCCUUUCUCAUUCCAGUUCAGCCUUCUUCUGGUUUUUGGUAUGAUGCAUAUUUUAUUUUAUCCUGGACUUUUUGGGUAUUAUAUUACGAGUUAGUGGUUCCUUUUAAAAACUAUUUUCGUAUGUAUUUGACUUGUUCAAGUUCAAAAUGAAAACCAUGGCUCACUUUUGUGGCCUGUGUUUGAAUGUCAGUUUAGUUUUAAAUAAGUCCUAUUUUUUAAAAAGAUUUUAUUAUUUAUUCAUGAGAGAUACAGAGAGAGGGGUAGAGACACAGGCAGAGGAAGAAGCAGGGUCCCUGUGGGGAGCCCGAUGUGGUACCCAAUCCCAGGACCCCGGGAUCACAACCUGAGCCAAAGACAGACGCUCAACCCCUGAACCACCCAGGAGUCCCCAAAUCAGUCCUAUUUUAGUCUGCCCUAUGGUGUGCUACCCAGAGGCCAAUCUGAAACAGUACAGUCUUCUACAUCAUAGUUCAAUUCUCAAAGCUUUCUAUGUUAAUUCUGGUGGGUUUCACACAUAGGUCACUUGUAGGUGUGCCCUGGACUUCAUAUACAAAUUCAAACAAUCUCUUUCUGCAGCUCCCUCUUCUUUGUUACCCUCCCCCCACACCCUAGCUGUGACGGGGUGGGUGCUGCCUCUGUUACCUUUGCUUAGUGCAAGGAUAGCAACAGAGCUCUACCCUGCUGUUACAACACUCCAUGGGGAUGGGAGAGAGGGAUUCACGCUGAUUGCAUUUGUGCAGAAUGGGGCUGGCUGACAAGAGCUCCACAUCAGUCCUCACUAGUAAGGGGAGAGGACUACUCACAUAGUAGUACAUAGGAGGGAUGGUGGACAGGCUCCACGCCACAGCCUCCCCAAAGCCAGCUGAAAAGGGAGGGCUGUGGCUUAUUUUAUGGUGUUUGCCCAAGAAAGAGCAAGUAUUGUCAAAAGGUCUUUCAGGGCACCUGGGUGGCUCAAGUGGUUGAGUGUCUGCCUUUGGCUCAGGACGUGAUCCAGGGAUCUUGGGAUCUAGUCCCACAAUGGUCUCCCUGCAGGAAGCCUGCCUCUCCCCCUGCCUAUAUCUUUGCCUCUCUCUUUGGGUCUCUCAUGAAUAAAUAUAUUUUAAAAAAAAAGUCUUUCAUUGCUGUCCUUCCCAGCCUUUGACUCCAGAAGGGUGGGCUUUUGUUGGGACUUUGUGCUUUGGUGAUGGUUUUGGGUUUGACCUUCUCUGGUGUCCAGGAUAGGAUCUAGUAAGUAGUAAAGCUUGUGAGGUCUCCCAACUAGGUUAUCACUUGAGACCUAAGUUGUCUAGCCAGUUUUAUCUUUUUUCCACCAUCAGAACAGUCUGAUAGUUGCUUUACAUAUUUUGUCAAGUUUUUGGUUGUAGUAAGUAGAAGGAAUAGGGUAGAAUCCACUUACUCAUCUUGUUUGGAAACGGAAGCCCCAUAUAUUUUUUCAAAAUCAACUUUUUGAGGUAUAAUUUACAUGCACUAAAACGUAUCCAUUUAUAAUACACAUUUCCAUGAGUUUCAACAAAGGUAUAUAUAUACCCAUGCAACCACAAUCAAAAUAGAGAACAUUCUCAUCUCCCCAAAAGUUUCCUUUGUGCCUUUUCCCAAGCAAUUCCCCUCCUCCCAGGCCUGACAAGCACUGAUCUAUGUGACGAUGGAUUAGAUUUGUCUUUUCCAGAGUUUCAGAUAAAAUCAAACAGAAUGUAUUCUUUGAUAAAAGUCUACCUUUUUUUCGUUCAGUGUAUCUGAGAUUCAUAUGUACCACUAGGUGUAUCAGCAGUUCAUUCCUUUUCAUUUCUUAGUAGGAUUCCAUUAUUUUUUUGUCUGUGCUUUCGUCUGGGUUGUUGCCAUCCUCUGCUCUUACCUGGCAAACUUCAAAAGCCAAUGACCCCCCAGUAGCUCCCCCAGCCACCGCUGCUGCGUUUCUGCUCUCAGAGCUCCUUCUGUGAUUCAAGGGAGAAAAAGCUUGCUACAUCAUUUAAUGUUAGUACUUCCUUCAAGGCAGGGGUAGGAUACAAUUUCAGAAUAAAAAGGAUGGUUUCUUCUGGAUUUCUUCUCUAUCCUGGUCUAGAGAGAGACAAAAACUCAGCACAACUUUUCGCAUCUUCUUUUUCUUCAGUAAAGAAAGAGCAGAGCACUGAUCUGCUCUGUCAUAUGCUUACUAAUCAUGGGCUCAGACCAAAGUAUAUGAAAACAAUCACUCUCUUGGCAGGGAAUUUUAGGGGUUUAUAACUUUGGUCUUAUAGUGUUGUGUCCUCUGAAUUAGUAAUAAGAGUAUGGAUAUGCUCUUCAUUUUAUGCAAAAAUAACUACCAGAUCACAGUGAUGCAUAACUAACACCAUCCCUCCAUGUUGAAUUCCCAGUGGCUUGUGAUGAACUGGGUACCUCGCCAAACACACUUAUCCACAUUGUCAGGUUCUCUGUCUUCUGUCUAACCCAUGCCCUCAUAUCCCUAGCAGAAGAAAUUCGGUAUUCCAUGCAUCUGAUUCCUAUGUUGUUGUUGUUGUUGUUGUUGUUUUUUCCCAUCUGAUUCCAUUGUGAUGGCAAGUGACACACUAGCCAGGGGAUGAUCUGACCUUGUAUUCUCUCCUGGCUAGUUACAUUUACAAAGUGGAUUCAUGAUUUCUCUGACUGCUGUCUUCACCAAAUUCUGCAUUCAGACUCACAAAUGAAGUGCUAAGUGGUUUUUAUAUAGGAAAACAAAGCAAGUUUUGUUUUCUACCAGUGCAAAGUUGGGUAUACUCUUUUUAAAAAUAAUAUUUCCCAUUUAGCAAAGUCCUAAGGUAAAUAGAUGGUUGCCAGGUUUCUAGUUAUACUGGUUUCUGUACUAUCUAUCUGUUCAGACACAAGCUCCUUUUAAAAUGUGCCUAGUCAGAAUUUCUUCAUAUACUGCAACCAAAACAACAUAUUGCAACAGAUGGAAUACAGAAGUAGAUGUGAGAAUUCAGCUGUCUUCUAUUAAGCCAGGCAUUAAAGAGAUUGGCAAAAAAAUAAAAUAAAAUAAAAUAAUGACAUUCUUUUGUUAUUUUAUUUUUAAUUUUUUUAGAGAGAGAGAGCAUGUGAGCACAGGGCAGGGGUGGGCAGAGAGGGAGAAUCUUGUUUUUUUUUAAUUAAAAAAUAUUUUUUUGCAUAUUUUUUAUUGGAGUUCAAUUUGCCAACCUAUAGCAUAACACCCAGUGCUCAUCCCAUCAAGUGCCCCCUUCAGUGCCCAUCACCCAGUGCCCCCAAGCCCCUGCCCACCUCCCCUUCCAUUACCCCUUGUUCGUUUCCCAGAGUUAGAGGAGUUGCAGAGGGAGAAUCUUAAGCAGGCUCAAAGCUCUGCACUGGGCUCACCAGGGCUCAUUCUCACAACCCUGGAAUCAUGACCUGAGCCAAAAUCAAGAUUUGGACACUUAACUGACUGAGCCACCCAGGCACCCCAAUGCCACUCUCUUGUUUCAUGAGAAAAUGUAUUUGUGGAAAAUUUAGCUAUCAAAUAAUACGAGAGAAACUUUCAAACUAAAGAACACGUUUCCACAUGAAAGUUCAGCACAGUAAAUGCAAAACAGGAGGAGAUAAAGACAAAAAAAAAAAAAAAAA